GCCGAUGAGGGAGUCUUUCGGGCCCUGAUUGGUGAUGAGGGCCUCCCUAUCCCGAGG
rfam:Pyrococcus furiosus DSM 3638, complete genome.